AAUGUGUAUUUACUACAAUGUGUAAAUCAACAAUAAGUUUGUUGCAAAGAAGAUUCAUAGUGGGUGGUUAAAGUGAUCAACAACUGCCGUUUUUGUUUUUUUGGAAUGCUGAGGAACAGCUGUAACAGGUUUGUAUUUUCAUUUCUGCAUCUCUUUUUAAUUAAAUUAAUUAUGAUCAUUAUCAUAUUUAUGUAUUGUCACUGGGAAAUGUAACUGGAUGAGUAAAUGUAAUGCAAUUUUAAGGAAAAAAACACCAUUUGAAUUAUUAUGGCUGUAUUUUAUGGUUAUUGUCAUCUUAAAAUUUAUUUAUACCUAUUUCUUGUCAUUAAUGAACAGAUUUCUUUCCCCCAUAUUUAAUCAGAACUUUAAUAUUUUAUAUUUGAAGGUUAAACCCCAAGGUGAAAUUUACAUUGAUCGGAAGAUCUAUUGGACAGAAUGUGCAUCAUCGCCUGCCAAAAAAGGGAGCAAAAAGGGGACUACCUGAUGUAUGGACAUGUAUACCAGGUUUUACCCUGCACGAGCAGGCCAACUUGAGGGGAACAGGAGUGGGAAACCGUGCCCUGUAGCUUGUCCUUGACCAAGAAAAGAUGGAUUUGUUGAGAGGACCUGAUCUCAAAUGAGAUCAUGCACGAGAAGCGCCUCACAGACCAUGACAGUAGUAUUCAGACCUGAUCAGCUGGUGAAGUGCUCUAUAAAGGGUUGUUUAUGAAUGCAUUCUUUGUAAGGAACAGUGUAUAACAACAAAUAUAGUGACAGGGGCUAAGCUGCUAAAUAUUGUCAGCAUGUAUGCAGUGAUUUUCUUUGGAAAUUCAAAACAACCUGUACGUACUGGCUCUCAGAAGGGCAUGUUUUAGCGCAAUAAUGAACAAAAAAAGGAAGAUCUUAAAAAUAAGGUAUAGAUUUAUAUAAAUUUCAUGAAUACUGUUCAUUUAUCAUAUAUUAGGAUCCAGAAUAUGAUUGAAUUAAAUGUGCUGCUUUUGUCCAUAUCAAAAAGAGAUUUGGAAUUAAUGUAAUAUAUAAAAAUCUAGUAAAUGAUAGGAAAAACAUUUCAGCUUAAGGAGGGGAAAAUAUAAUAUUUUUGAAGUGGAAACCAUCUGUAUUUGGCUGUUAAUCAGUUUCCGGUAAUCAGAGGGGAGAAAAAUCACUGGUAUGAGCUUGAUAUUUUCAAUUGUUAAUUCCAGAUAGGCAAUAGCCCGUUUGAAUCCUCUCUUUUAUGUAGAUAUGUAACAUUUGUUUUUGUUUUUUAAGGUUUAACAUUCUAAUAAAAGUGUGUAUUUAUCUAUUAAAUUGUA